rnacentral:misc_RNA from 1 species
UUCAGGGUGCGAUUUUGUUGAGGUCCUUGGCGUGGCGGACACGUGCGGUGCCGUUGUUGCCGGUGAUACCACGUGGCAGGUUUUUGUGAGUUGGCUGCUAGGACCCCAACAUCUACGAUAGAGAACUGAGCAAAAUUUUUUAACCCUGGCUGACCUCGUGAUGGAGAUGGUGUCGUGGAGAUGGACAACUGAACUCGAGAGACUGGCGGGUGAUCAUCCAGGGAGUUUC